GAGAACAAACUGCGUGAAAGU
rnacentral:snRNA from 1 species